GGCGGCAGGCCUAACACAUGCAAGUCGAGCGGUAGAGAGAAGCUUGCUUCUCUUGAGAGCGGCGGACGGGUGAGUAAUACCUAGGAAUCUGCCUGAUAGUGGGGGAUAACGUUCGGAAACGGACGCUAAUACCGCAUACGUCCUACGGGGGAAAGCAGGGGACCUUCGGGCCUUGCGCUAUCAGAUGAGCCUAGGUCGGAUUAGCUAGUUGGUGAGGUAAUGGCUCACCAAGGCUACGAUCCGUAACUGGUCUGAGAGGAUGAUCAGUCACACUGGAACUGAGACACGGUCCAGACUCCUACGGGAGGCAGCAGUGGGGAAUAUUGGACAAUGGGCGAAAGCCUGAUCCAGCCAUGCCGCGUGUGUGAAGAAGGUCUUCGGAUUGUAAAGCACUUUAAGUUGGGAGGAAGGGCAGUUACCUAAUACGUGAUUGUCUUGACGUUACCGACAGAAUAAGCACCGGCUAACUCUGUGCCAGCAGCCGCGGUAAUACAGAGGGUGCAAGCGUUAAUCGGAAUUACUGGGCGUAAAGCGCGCGUAGGUGGUUUGUUAAGUUGAAUGUGAAAUCCCCGGGCUCAACCUGGGAACUGCAUCCAAAACUGGCAAGCUAGAGUAUGGUAGAGGGUAGUGGAAUUUCCUGUGUAGCGGUGAAAUGCGUAGAUAUAGGAAGGAACACCAGUGGCGAAGGCGACUACCUGGACUGAUACUCACACUGAGGUGCGAAAG
rnacentral:rRNA from 1 species